GCGGAAGUGGCUGGACGUCAUGAGGAACACAUCAGCGGAAGAAGACAAAAGCAGCUGGUCUUGGAGAAUCCGCCAGGGGAAGAGCACACUGGCAGGCACCGCAGGCCAUCGAUCGUCAGAAAGACACGGAGUUUGGCCAGAAUUAUCAGAGAAGAGUUUGGCCAGAGGGGUCAGAGAAGACUCCAGCGGAAAACCAUCUCCCCUGUGACUCCAGAAUCUUCUGAGAGCUACUUCUACUUAAUAAAACCUUGCACUCAUUCUCCAAGCCCACAUGUGAUCCGAUUCAUCCAGUACACCAAGUGUCCAGGGACAUCUAGAUGAUAGAAGUUCCUUCAGAUGGGUCCCUGGUGUGAGGGUGUCCUGUAUCAGACUGCCUAUUGAAGUUCAACCUGUGGUUCAAGACAGGAUCUCAUUCAGAAUACUACUUUCAUUCAGGCUGGAGUGCAGUGGCAUGAUCUUAGCUCUCUGCAACUUCCGCCUCCUGGGCUCAAGCGAUUCUCCUGUCUCAGGCUCCGGAGUAGCUGGGACUACAGGCAUGCGCCACAACACCAGGUAAUUUUUGUAUUUUUAGUAGAGACGGGGUUUUACCAUGUUGGCCAGACUGGUCUCGAACUCCGGACCUCAAGUGAUCCACCUGCCUCGGCCUCCCAAAGUGCUGGGAUUAUAGGCAUGAGCCACCAUGCCAGGCCGAUCUUGACAGUUUUAGUGAGUAUUGGUCAGACAUUUUGUGGAGUAUCUCUGUAUUGGAAUCUAGUUCAUGUUUUUUUCAUAAUAGAUAGGAUUUUAUAUUCUUGGGAGAAAAAACAUUGAUAUAUACUGUCCCAUUUUCAUCACCUCAGAGCACAAGCCAAGGCUAAUAACAUCUUCAUCUUAGAAGUGUUUCUUUCACUUGCCUUCUGUAUAUCACACUUGCUGAUUUUUUUUGUAUGACUCUAGUAAUACUUUAUCAGUUUUGUUAAAUCCAAUUUUCACCAAUUUCAUAAUUUUAGAGCAUCUUAUGGAUCAUUUUUUAAGCUUUUAUCUACACUUCUUCAGUGAUUUCUUCUGGUUUCACAAUUUCAAUUGCCAUCUGCAUACUGAUGACAAGUAAAUUUAUAUCUCUGAUUCAGAUUUGUCCACUAAACUUGAUAACACUAUAUAUAACUGCAUACUUGAUAUCUUUACUUGGAACAUCUCAAAGUUGAAAUGCUCAAAAUAGAACUGCUUAUUAUUCUAGUAGAACCUGUUUCACCCACACACAGUCUUCCUUAUCAUUGUACUUGAUCAUUCUAGCCCAUCCGGGGAAAAAACACACACAAUCAAUAAAAAAAACUUGAUUUAUCCUUGAAAUAUUUUAUUUGAAUCCCACGUCUGAAACAUCAGCAAAAAUGGUUUUAAUUACUCAAUUUUUUCCAAAACAUAGAUAGAACCUGAAAAUUUCCCACUAUCACACACACUCCCACUAUUCUCCAAGGCACCAUUAGCUCUCACCCAGGUAAGAGUGAUAGCCUCCUUUCUCAGCCAGGUUACAGUGACAGCCUCCUGCUGUCAUUAUUGCCUUCCAUAGUCUCACUGAAACACAGCAGCCAAAGUGAUUCUUUGAACGUGUCAAUGAGAUCGAGUCACUGCUCUGCUAAAUACUCUCCAGUGGCUCCUCAUCUGAUUCAGAGGAAAGCCAGUGGUUUUCAAUGGCCUAAUAUUUUCUGCACAUUCCAAGUUCCAGUCAAAACUCUGAGCUCAUCCACCACACUGUCACGACACACUACUUCCAGUUACUCAAAUACGCCAGUGUGCUCAUGUCUCAGGGUAUUACUACUGUUCCCUCUUUUUGAAACACUGUGCCCAAGUGUCAUUGUCUCAAUUCCUAUCCUGGUUUCUUAAACUUAAGAGGAAAAAAAUAAGGAAACUCCCUUAUGUCCUCCUCUGACUAGUGAUCAUAUUUUAGUUUCCCCGGCCUGUCUCUUCUGCUAAUAUUCCAUUUUCUGAACUUACUUAUGUUUACCCUCUUUAUCUUCCUAUUAAUAGAUAAUGAGUUUAUGAGAUCAUGAGUCUCUCAGUUCUUACAGCUACUAUAAUACACUAUAUAGUUUUUGAUACACUGUGGGGACUUUAUAAAGGUUUUGUGAAUUAACUAGUUAAUGAAAGACAAAAAAAAUAAAUAGCCUGGACCCCUGCAAGCUUUGACAGCAGCAAGAAAUCAGCAUCGUCUUCAGAUUUUAAGUAUUUUAGUGUCAACUAUUUAAAUCAGCUAAAUAAUACAGUAAUAGAAUCUAUUUUGUUUCUAGUUAGAGUCAUGACUGAAAGCACUGCUAUUCCCUAAAGGGGAAAUUCCCUCAUUUGCAGAAAUAACAAAAGACUAAAAAA
rnacentral:lncRNA from 1 species